UAGAUAGAUUAUUGUAUUCGACUGUAUUCAUAACGUAAAACAGGGGAUUACACUGUUUUUAAAUGAAAAGUGAAUCAAUUAACNACUCCU
rnacentral:pre_miRNA from 1 species